UUACCAAGGCGACGAUCAGUAGCCGACCUGAGAGGGUGAUCGGCCACAUUGGAACUGAGACACGGUCCAAACUCCUACGGGAGGCAGCAGUGGGGAAUAUUGCACAAUGGGCGAAAGCCUGAUGCAGCAACGCCGCGUGAGUGAUGAAGGCCUUCGGGUCGUAAAACUCUGUCCUCAAGGAAGAUAAUGACGGUACUUGAGGAGGAAGCCCCGGCUAACUACGUGCCAGCAGCCGCGGUAAUACGUAGGGGGCUAGCGUUAUCCGGAUUUACUGGGCGUAAAGGGUGCGUAGGCGGUCUUUCAAGUCAGGAGUGAAAGGCUACGGCUCAACCGUAGUAAGCUCUUGAAACUGGGAGACUUGAGUGCAGGAGAGGAGAGUGGAAUUCCUAGUGUAGCGGUGAAAUGCGUAGAUAUUAGGAGGAACACCAGUUGCGAAGGCGGCUCUCUGGACUGUAACUGACGCUGAGGCACGAAAGCGUGGGGAGCAAACAGGAUUAGAUACCCUGGUAGUCCACGCUGUAAACGAUGAGUAC
rnacentral:rRNA from 1 species